rnacentral:lncRNA from 1 species
AAGAACUGGUGUCUGCAAUAUUCAUUGUAGUCUUUAUAUAGUUGAAAUAAUUAAUUAGAUGCAUUUUCAUAUAUAGGGACAAUGUAUAAGCUGUUUGGUCCUAUGAAUAAGCUGUUUGGUCCUAUGAAUAAGAUGUUUGGUCUGCCAAGAGAGGGAGGUACAGCUUCUAGUUCUUCUACAGAUUCUAAUAGCAACCAAAGCUAUAGAUACGAUGUGUUCAUCAGUUUCAGAGGUUCUGACACCCGU